UGGAAUGUAGCUCAGUUGGUAGAGCAGGCGACUGUUAAUCGCCUUGUCGUUGGUUCGAGCCCAACCUUUCCAGCCA
rnacentral:tRNA from 1 species